rnacentral:misc_RNA from 1 species
GAUGAAGAACGCAGCGAAAUGCGAUAAGUAGUGUGAAUUGCAGAAUUCAGUGAAUCAUCGAAUCUUUGAACGCACAUUGCGCCCCUUGGUAUUCCAUGGGGCAUGCCUGUUCGAGCGUCAUUUGUACCUUCAAGCUCUGCUUGGUGUUGGGUGUUUGUCCUUGCUCUAGUGGCGGGACUCGCCUUAAAGUAAUUGGCAGCCAGUGUUUUGGUUUUGAAGCGCAGCACAAGUCGCGAUUCAAGUCUAUACGCUAGUUUCCACCAGUCUUUUAUCACUUUUGACCUCGGAUCAGGUAGGGAUACCCGCUGAACUUAAGCAUAUCAAUAAGCGGAGGA